UCAUCUUCGGGGGUAGAGCACUGUUUCGGCUAGGGGGUCAUCCCGACUUACCAACCCGAUGCAAACUACGAAUACCGAAGAAUGUUAUCACGGGAGACACACGGCGGGUGCUAACGUCCGUCGUGAAGAGGGAAACAACCCAGACCGCCAGCUAAGGUCCCAAAGUCAUGGUUAAGUGGGAAACGAUGUGGGAAGGCACAGACAGCCAGGAUGUUGGCUUAGAAGCAGCCAUCAUUUAAAGAAAGCGUAAUAGCUCACUGGUCGAGUCGGCCUGCGCGGAAGAUGUAACGGGGCUAAACCAUGCACCGAAGCUGCGGCAGCGACACUAUGUGUUGUUGGGUAGGGGAGCGUUCUGUAAGCCUGCGAAGGUGACCUGUGAGGGUUGCUGGAGGUAUCAGAAGUGCGAAUGCUGACAUAAGUAACGAUAAAGCGGGUGAAAAGCCCGCUCGCCGGAAGACCAAGGGUUCCUGUCCAACGUUAAUCGGGGCAGGGUGAGUCGACCCCUAAGGCGAGGCCGAAAGGCGUAGUCGAUGGGAAACAGGUUAAUAUUCCUGUACUUGGUGUUACUGCGAAGGGGGGACGGAGAAGGCUAUGUUAGCCGGGCGACGGUUGUCCCGGUUUAAGCAUGUAGGCUGGUUAUCCAGGCAAAUCCGGAUAAUCAAGGCUGAGGUGUGAUGACGAGGCACUACGGUGCUGAAGUAACAAAUGCCCUGCUUCCAGGAAAAGCCUCUAAGCAUCAGGUAACAUCAAAUCGUACCCCAAACCGACACAGGUGGUCAGGUAGAGAAUACCAAGGCGCUUGAGAGAACUCGGGUGAAGGAACUAGGCAAAAUGGUGCCGUAACUUCGGGAGAAGGCACGCUGGUGUGUAGGUGAAGCCCCUGCGGGUGGAGCUGAGACCAGUCGAAGAUACCAGCUGGCUGCAACUGUUUAUUAAAAACACAGCACUGUGCAAACACGAAAGUGGACGUAUACGGUGUGACGCCUGCCCGGUGCCGGAAGGUUAAUUGAUGGGGUUAUCCGUAAGGAGAAGCUCUUGAUCGAAGCCCCGGUAAACGGCGGCCGUAACUAUAACGGUCCUAAGGUAGCGAAAUUCCUUGUCGGGUAAGUUCCGACCUGCACGAAUGGCGUAAUGAUGGCCAGGCUGUCUCCACCCGAGACUCAGUGAAAUUGAACUCGCUGUGAAGAUGCAGUGUACCCGCGGCAAGACGGAAAGACCCCGUGAACCUUUACUAUAGCUUGACACUGAACAUUGAGCCUUGAUGUGUAGGAUAGGUGGGAGGCUUUGAAGCGUGGACGCCAGUCUGCGUGGAGCCAACCUUGAAAUACCACCCUUUAAUGUUUGAUGUUCUAACGUUGGCCCCUGACCGGGGUUGCGGACAGUGUCUGGUGGGUAGUUUGACUGGGGCGGUCUCCUCCCAAAGCGUAACGGAGGAGCACGAAGGUUAGCUAAUCCUGGUCGGACAUCAGGAGGUUAGUGCAAUGGCAUAAGCUAGCUUGACUGCGAGCGUGACGGCGCGAGCAGGUGCGAAAGCAGGUCAUAGUGAUCCGGUGGUUCUGAAUGGAAGGGCCAUCGCUCAACGGAUAAAAGGUACUCCGGGGAUAACAGGCUGAUACCGCCCAAGAGUUCAUAUCGACGGCGGUGUUUGGCACCUCGAUGUCGGCUCAUCACAUCCUGGGGCUGAAGUAGGUCCCAAGGGUAUGGCUGUUCGCCAUUUAAAGUGGUACGCGAGCUGGGUUUAGAACGUCGUGAGACAGUUCGGUCCCUAUCUGCCGUGGGCGCUGGAGAAUUGAGGGGGGCUGCUCCUAGUACGAGAGGACCGGAGUGGACGCAUCACUGGUGUUCGGGUUGUCAUGCCAAUGGCACUGCCCGGUAGCUAAAUGCGGAAGAGAUAAGUGCUGAAAGCAUCUAAGCACGAAACUUGCCCCGAGAUGAGUUCUCCCUGAGACUUUAAGUCUCCUGAAGGAACGUU
rnacentral:rRNA from 1 species